rnacentral:rRNA from 1 species
AGAGUUUGAUCCUGGCUCAGGACGAACGCUGGCGGCGUGCCUCAAACAUGCAAGUCGAGCGUGGGCACAUUGCCUCGCAAGAGGUGGUGUGCUCUAGCGGCGAACGGGUGCGUAACACGUGGGGAACCAACCUCCAGACGGGGACAACCUCGGGAAACCGGGGCUAAUACCGGAUACGUUCUUCGGGUCGCAUGGCCUGA